AUGAUCUGCUUUGUUGUCCUCUCAGUUCCCCAGGUGGAGGUGGAUUCAAGGGUGGAGUCUGUCGAGCUGCCCUUCAAAACCACACUUGACCUGCCUGAAGAAUCUAAAGUGGAGUGGAAGGACAAUGCCUGGGAUACAGUUCACAUGUAUAAGAACGGCUCUGACCAGCCUGAAGAACAGCACCAGGCUUAUACAAACCGAACGAAGAUGAAUGACCUCCUGCAAACUGGAGACCUCAGUCUGACCCUGAAGUACCCCACAGAUGGAGACAACUACACCUACACCUGCACCGUCUACGGCAAGGAGGGAAACAUCCUGCUAAAGAAACAAGUGGAGUUGAAAGUCAGAGUCUUUCAGGUGGAGGUGGAGGAGGGGGCGGAGUCUGUCAAGCUUCCCUUCAAAACCACAGAAAACCUGCCUGGAGAUGCUAAAGUGGAGUGGAAGGAUAGUCGCAUGAGGAUUCACGUGUAUGAAGGGUUCCCUGACAAGCCUGACCAACAGGACCAGGUUUACGACCGAACGAAGAUGAAUAAAAACCCACUGAAAACUGGGGACCUCAGUCUGACUCUGAACAACCCCAUACAGACAGACAGUGGAGAAUACAGCUGUGGAGUCUCGAUUGGUGACAACAACUUAAUAAGAUACAAAACAGUGCAGCUCAGAGUCAACGGUCCAGGAUUAAACAGGACAUUAAAGAGGACAUCAGGAACAGAAGCAGCUCCAUUGAUCUGACUCCUCUGAUGGCUGAUCAAUCAGUUUGAUCUGUGUGUUCUUUGAUUAUUGAUCAGUGAUGUAUGUAAAUAUCACGAUCACAUGACCAUAUUAAUGCUUUUUGUUCUCACUUAAUUUGUCUUUUUCUAUUGGGAAUUUGGGUUUGAUCUAAAAUAUUAUAAUAAUAAUUAUUCUAUGAAUUUAACCUCCGUCACUCUGACCUUUGAACUUUUUCUGCAUUUUGUGGUUUUCCUGUGUCAGCGUUGUAAUACAAAAACACAGAUUCUACGGUUAAGUCAAGUUUCCUGGUGUUGGUGUUCAGAUGUGGUGUAGUGUAGUCCAUGCGCAGGUCACAUGACUCUGUCCAACAGCCUAGAGAAGAAAGAUGAGCAGACGCCUUGUUUAAAGCUAAAAAUUAUAGCCCAGAAAGGGAUAACGAUGGUGUGACAGAGACGAGGAAUAUGGAAAAUCAAUCGAGGGAGCAGAAAGCACGACAGCUGAUCAGUCAAAGUCCAGGACAGGUGUUCUGACACGAUGCAGACUGAUGAGGAAACAGGAUGGGUGGUGGGAGCUUAUAGAAACAAGCAGCAUAGCUCAAAUCUGACAGGUUUCCAUGUGCUGUUUGUAGACUGAUUAUUAUCUGUUAACACACAAAACAAAAACAGUUGGCUGACCUUUAACCCGAUCGAGUGUUCUAGCAGUUACAUAGUUACAUGGAGAAACCUUUUGAAUACAAGUACGCUCAUCCCCACACGUUUACACAGACACAAACUAUACUUUUCUUGGCUGCUACCUCAAAGCACAUUGUGCGCUGCGUGUUGCACAAUAAUAUUCAAUAUUUAGUAUUUACUGUUAGACUUAGCUAGAUUAUUGUGAUGGUGUUGUGUUUUUAUGUUGCUCUCUUUUCUGCUUGUUUUCUUUUUUUCUCUCUCUCUUCUCUCAACAGGUGAUCCAGUUGAAUUUUUUUUUCAAUUUUUUUCUUGUUUUUAAGUGCCUUUUCUUAUUGUCCCUCUUCCCCUCUAUUUUUCUUUACCUCCUCUUUCUUUCUCCCUUUACUGUCCCCCAGUCACAUCUGUCCUGUCUGUAACAACUGAAAAUAAAAUAAAAAUUAAAUAUAUAAAUAAUAAUAACAAAGGUCAAUCAAAUGGACCAAUACGGCAAGGCCAUGAUGAUCCAUUUGGUAAAGUGGAUCAUCAGCAAUUCUGAUGGCUAAAGAACAAAACGGGACAGGCAAAAUAAAAUAAUAAUAAUAAAAAUUAAAAAAAUUGAUCCAGUGUUGUUGUUCUUCUGUGGUAUUUGUGAUUGAGCAGCUUCUCCUCAUGUGUUUGAUGACACCAUGUUUUCUGCAACUUCAGCAAAGUUAGACCUUUUUAUGUUUUUAAUAACAGCUCAAAAUACAUAAGCUUCAACACUGAUGAUGCAAAGAGCUAAAUUUCUUUUUUUUUUAACAUAUAAAAAUUGUAUAAAGCUUCACAAUUUACUCCUGAAUUUAAUCUUGCUUACUUAGAAAGAAAUAAACUAAAAUAAACCAAUUAUUAGUCUCUAAUAUUUAUGCUCAUUUCAUUUUAAUGAGAGAGUCAGAAAAUCACAUAAAAGUUAUAAGUUGUUUUUGUAAUGGAAGAUUUCUUUUGUUCUCAUUUAAAGUGCUCAUGCGCAGGCUCAGUUGUGACAUGGUAAUGGGAAAUUCCGCUGAACAGUUUAGGGCUAGCUGAAUUUGUUUUGAUGUUGAAAACAACUAAAACUGCAACAUCUGUUUUGAUCAUGCUGGGGUAAAGACCGCAGAGCCUGAAAAGAGGAAGUAGCUGUUGUUGUGAAAGGAUAAAUAGAUGCUGCCACGCCUUGAGAGCUCAGUGCUUGCAUGACUGUAUUAACCGUCUGUUUCCUCUCCCAUGCAUGAUAAUAAAGGCGUUGAUUACAGCUAACCGUGUCUGCAGACUUUGUAAUCACAAUUCCACCACAGUUUGUGUGUUAAGUAGCUGAAAACUACUAGACAUAAGGUAACGAGAAAGCAACACUAGAAACAGCAGACAGGAGGUACCAAAAUCAAAUGUAACAGAGAGUUUACAGAGGAGGGCGCACAGGAGGGCUUGAAAACCAGAAACCCAGGAAAUCAAAAUAAAAACUAAGAAACCAUAAUAAUAAAACCAAAACAGGAAAUAAAUCAAAUACCACAAUCAAAAUGACAUGAACAAUGAACACUGUGCAGAAAUACAACAAUCAAAUGUUUGUUUAUUCAGAUAACCAUUACGUUAACUAUGUUCAGUACAACCUGCAUGUAUAUUUUUCCCGGACUUCAGCUAGAAUGAAAAAAAAGGCACAAAGCUGGAGUUAUUCUGUCGUUACGCUGCAGCUGUUUCUUCUUCUCUCAUUCUCUCCCUCUCCCUCUCCUGUUGCUACUUCAAUCACGAAACUGAUCAAUGAUCAGCUGAUCGGUGUUUCUGUCGCAAGUCCCGUCUCUCUUGCUUGUUUGUCUCCCACUUUGCCAGAAAGAGCAGCAGAAGCACCUGUAAACUUGAUCAGCUGUUGUUAGAAUUCAUUUAAUAUUACUUUCUAGUAUCAGCUGAUGUUUGCUGGAGCCACAGCCAGAGCUCUAGACUAACUUUUUGACAUGGGCGCACCGGUACGCCUAACUUUAAAAAUUUAGGCGUACAGGUGUUGUGCCCAAAAGUGAUUGUCUGCCAGAAACUGAUUGCCGUCCGCGGGAGCGCGCGCAGCUGCUUAAAGCUGCAGCGCCCGGAUUACUUGCAGCUACUUCCGUGCAACUGAUAUAACGUGGGGGGGGGGAAAAAAACCAAAGACAUUUAUGCCUUUGUUAUUAGACAAAGGUAUGCAUUUAUGGAACUUUAACGUUUCUUGUAACCGAAUUAUGACGCUUAUCAGAAGGUUGCUUUCAGUGUGUAGCGCAGUCACGAAUGACUACACGCAUCACGAUGGAAUAAUUAAUGCCUACAGGUUUAGUAUGUCUACUCUCGUUGUUCAUGUUUGUUAUAAGACUGUCGAAUAGUAGUUAAAAAAAAUAAAGACCUAUUGUGCCAGUAUCACCAUGACUCUUUCUUGUUUGCUCAGAAUAACGACUGAGAACAUGGCAUUUUAGCGCUACCAAAAAAGUGAUUGUGGCCUAUAACUUGUCACUGAAACAAUAUUUCGGUUUCAAACUUGUUGGAUAUAUUCCAGAAGGGUUACAUGUGAUAUAUUAUAUCCCAGAAACUCUCCAAGAACUGCUGAAUAACUUGUACAGGAACAAUAAAACUGAUAAUAUGCAAUUUCCAACCUGCCAAAAAGUGAUUGUGGUCUAUAACUUGUCACUGAAAUACUAUUUCUGCUUCAAACUAACUGCUUCAAUAG
rnacentral:lncRNA from 1 species